rnacentral:snoRNA from 1 species
AGUUGAUGAUAACACCUCGGUAAUGCUGUAAACUCCUGAGUGUGCAAUGGGGGAAGCCAACCUUGGAGAGCUGAGCAUGUA